rnacentral:lncRNA from 1 species
CACAUAUCUUUUCCACUCAUUCCUGGAUUCUUGAGGAAGAUCCACUUAAAAUGCAAGUGUUAAAUACGGUGAUGGGGCCGGAUGGGCCUAGGGUGAUAAACACACUUAUUCUGAGCAUUGAUAGUUAUGCAUAGGACUGUAUGGGGCUGGCGUAGCCCCAGCGGCAUAGGUUCUACUGAGACCUAUCCCCAGAUGGGAGCCAUAAGCACAUGGGCAAUUGUACAGCCAUGUAACCACACCAGUAACUGGCUAGAACCAAGAGCUCCAAAGCUACACAGACAGGUUCCAGUCCUGCUUCUGCCUCCCCUGCUCAGUGCCUGUGUUCACCCAUGGGCAAACCAAGCUCUAAAUAGGAUGAAGCAUGGCAACUACUCAGCACAGUAUCUGGUACAGAGUAAGCCCUCAGAAAUGAUAGUAUUAUUAUUAACAAUAGUAUUAUUCAUCCGAAGUACCUGGGGCUGCGUAUAUCUCAGUUCUCUUUUCCUCCUGGGCAAUUUCCAUUUUCUAAACCGAAGUCCUGCUUUUUCAGCAAGGAAACUGCUAAAUGCUCCCGCAUCAGCGUGUAUGUCUGUGUGUGCGUCUGUGUGUGUGUGUGUGUGUAGGGGCAAGGGGCUCAAGUGUUGGAAGUGGCCCAGCGCGUGUGUGUGUAUGUGUGUAGGGGCUGGGGGGCUUAAAUGUUGCAGGUGGUGCAACGUGUGUGUGUGUGUGUGUGUGUGUCUAAGGGCUGGGGGCUCAAGUGUUGGAAGUGGUGCAGCGUGUGUGUUUGUGUGUGUGUGUUUGCGUGCGUGUAUGGGUGUGUGUAAGGGCUGGGGGCUCAGGCACUGGAGGUGGCUCCGCGUGUGUGUGUGUGUUCAGGGGCUGGGGGCUCAACUGUCAGAGGUGGCCCAGAGGCCGGUUAGAGACUGGGAGGGAGGGCAGAGGCAAGAGAGUCAGCGGGUGCUCUCGCGAGAGUUCACCGAGUUGGUAAAGUUAUUAAAACACAAAAUACACAUUUGCACCAGGAAAAAAAACAACCCCCCGCUUGUCCCGCCCUGUCCCUCCAGGCUGCGCAACGCUGGAGGGCGAUGGGAGCGCGAGACAGAGCUUCUCGCCUUGUAAACAGCGUGUUGGCACGUGUGGAAGCCGAGCCAUGCAGCUCCGUCUCUGGCUUCUGCAAAGCGGCAUGAGGCCUGCUGUUGGUGUGCAGGGGAGUGCAGGCCAACCACACCCCAGGAAUGGGAAACCUUCUUUCGCUCCCAGGAGAGGCUGUGGCAGAGCCAGAGCUAGACUGUGCCUUUACAGAGCAUUUGCUUCUUAUGAACCUGCUCCAAAAUCACUGAUGAGCUCACAAAAGAGAAGCCAUAAAUCAGCAGGCUGGGGCUGGGUCCUUUGCUCACAGCAGGCAGAAGAUGCACCAUGGACCUCCCUCCAAAGGCCCUUUCACCACCACAUUAUCUAUCCUGCCUUCCCACCUUCCCACUGGUCCUGCAGCAGCCCAGCUCCCCAGCUCCUGGAGGCCUGGCGGGUGUCUGCCAUUCAUAUGGUUAAGCUUCCCCAGACCUGCCCGUGUGGGCCCCACCUUGCCACUCCCACCUGUCUGCUCCCAGGACAGCAAUUGUGCAAGAAGCCCCACAGGUGAGCGGGCAGAAGGGCGACAGCCAAAGAGCCUCUCUGCCACGACGCUGGGGCGGGGAGGCUACCUGGCAGCCACUGGAGCGUGGUGACGUGGGCAUGAAGCCUGAGCACCCAGCUCAUCAGAUGACAGAAAGCCUCGGGUAAGAAGAGACCUCCGUGGGAUGCAGUGAUGCCACAGUAGAGGCCUGCUAAGUACCCAGAAGAGUCACUUUAUGUGGGUAUAGACCCUGAGCAUGACUGCACCCACUUGGUCAGCUGUCCAGGCCACGGUCCCUCUGAGGCAAAUCUCGACUUUUCUCCACGUGCCAAAAGAAAACCAUAAUCUGACCGCUGAAGAAAUGGAAAGUGGUGUAGCUUUGACUGAAGCUUUCCUGGGGAAAUGGAAGAGGGGGUUACGUCAAAUACUACAGGGUUUCUGGAAGUCUCUUGUACAUAUCCAUGACCCCACUCCUCCUGCAGCUGCUGCUUCCUCCCUUUGGUGUACCCCAACAACCUCGCCUGCCGUCUCUCCUUUCUCCUGGUUCUGUGUCCCUCUCAGCUGCCCCUCAAAAACCCUUCAACUUCCACAUCUCACUCUGCAAAGCGGGAGGGGUGACUCUUGGCAACGUAGAAGUCUAGUUAGCAAAUUGCAGAGCAAAAGCAAGUCUGGGAAGCCUUAUGUCACCCAUUAAUAUACCCAUUGUUUUUUAAUUUAUUCAUUUUAAAAGUAUUAUAUGUUUUACUCAAACAGAAAGUGAUAGAUCCCAUGUACUGGCCAAUCUGAUCUGACCAAUUUUAACAUUUUCCCCUAUCUUUUCUUUGGAUCUCCCAUUCUCUUUCUCUCUCCCUGACCCUUCUCUCUCUUUUUCUCUCUCUAAAACAUAUUAUAUGGAAGGUAAAGCCCCAAAGGCCAUUUCUAUUAUAUUUUCUCCAUGUCUAGAAUCAGCCCUAUGCAUGUCUGGUGCCAUUUGGUCUGAAUCCAGGAUGGCACUGUGCUUAUGAGCACAGACUUGGAAGCCAGCCUGGCUCUCAGUUCCAACUCUGCACCAACUAGCUGAGUAACCUGGAAGAAGUUGCUUAACUUUGCUCUGCCUCAGUCAAAUAAGAAAGAGGAUAGUAAAUCAAUUCUAUGUGCAAUCAUCAAAUGUUGAUACAUUUAAAGUGUCUGGAGCAGAGCCUGGAAAAAAAUAAAUGCUUAAUAUAUAUUAACUAUUAUUAUGAUCCAUGAAUAAUAAACAGAAUGGCUUUUUGGUGUGUUUUUAAGAUUUGUCUAAAG